GACGAACGCUGGCGGCGCGCCUAACACAUGCAAGUCGAACGAGCGAGAGAGAGCUUGCUUUCUCGAGCGAGUGGCGAACGGGUGAGUAACGCGUGAGGAACCUGCCUCAAAGAGGGGGACAACAGUUGGAAACGACUGCUAAUACCGCAUAAGCCCACGGGUCGGCAUCGAGCAGGGGGAAAAGGAGCAAUCCGCUUUGAGAUGGCCUCGCGUCCGAUUAGCUAGUUGGUGGGGUAACGGCCCACCAAGGCGACGAUCGGUAGCCGGACUGAGAGGUUGAACGGCCACAUUGGGACUGAGACACGGCCCAGACUCCUACGGGAGGCAGCAGUGGGGAAUAUUGCACAAUGGGGGAAACCCUGAUGCAGCGACGCCGCGUGGAGGAAGAAGGUCUUCGGAUUGUAAACUCCUGUUGUUGGGGAAGAUAAUGACGGUACCCAACAAGGAAGUGACGGCUAACUACGUG
rnacentral:rRNA from 1 species